CCCUAGGUUCCAUCUUGCUCCUCUCCGGCGCUAUCAUCACUUCCGUCUUGCUCCUCUCCGGUGCCGGCCGUCCGACUCCAACCCCUUCUCCUCCUCCCUCCUCUCCGGCGCCGACCGACCGACCCCAACCGAGGUAUUUUUCUCCUCCUCCCUCCGCUCCCUUCUUCUCGCUUUUUCUCCUCCUUCUCCGCCUCCUUCUGCAAAGCUUCCGUGUUGCCGAACGACCGACCCCAACACCCCUUGGGCCUUUGAGAGGAAACAAAGGGGAAGCUGGUGAAGCUAAUUUUAGGGUUUUUUGGGCCACGGUAAGGGUAUCGUUUGCUUUCACUUCGCUGCUCCCCGCAUUCCCAUACCCAAUCUCACCACCCUUCUUCCUCCCUUCUUUCAAUCUUCGCAGGGUUACAGUGGAUCGAUCCAGAGGCGUCACCAAUGGCUGGAUUCCGAAGCUAAUUACCACAUCGGAGCUGUUGGGGUCAAAUAUCAGGUGAAGAGCUACUGGUUGAACUCUGAUGGUGCAGAUGUGGUCUUCCAUAUGAUUGAUAAUUUUCUUAUCUAGUCUUCUGAUAAAUUUUGCGGUUCUCAAUUGGCAGGCCACAAACUCAUUCUGGUGUGUAGAACACUGAUGCAAGUACAUUUAUUCUAAAAAUCUCGACCUUGUAGAUAAAUAAUUGUCCUGUGUAUUAGUUGCGCAAUUUUGAUUUGGUUAUAAUUCUUCAUUCAUACACCGCCUAGGGAAUCUGGUAACAAGAAACUGUAGAUUUUCUUAGUAGGUGGAAUUAUCUUGUAAUAGAAUUCAUCAUUUUAUAUCUUAGGAAGAAAUUUCCUACAA